rnacentral:rRNA from 1 species
AUGCUGCUGCGUUACACGCCUGCUAUGUGUUUGCAACGCUGCACCUAUACCAUGUAUUCUCAGCCUAGCCAGUUACAAGGAGGAUUGUCACAGAGCAUGGCCUUAUGGAAUCACUCUCGCUCACAUGCAGUCAGUUAUCACACAAAAAUGGGUCUAGUUAGUCUUUCUCCUAAGAGCACAAAAUCAUCUCGUCUGCAAAAUGGGACAUGCUUUGCCUGCUUGGAGCAACAGUCUAAACGCGGAUUAUCACCAAGAGAUCGUAUCCUACAUGCUAAGCUUGAUAUGACCUCACAUCACAAGUUUUCUAGUAUUAGCUACAAACCGAGAACGACGACAAGUUUAGCACAAAAAAUAGGAGGUACAGGCGCUGGACUUUCCUUGAGUUUCGCAGUUUCUGGGAUAGCAAAUGCUGGCGGUCUGGUGGAUAAUGACAUUGAUUCCAAAUCAUCCUCUAGUUGUGCUCAUGGGAAGAAAGUUUACACCGAGUAUUCUGUCACCGGCAUUCCUGGGGAUGGUAGAUGCUUGUUCCGUUCUGUGGCUCAUGGUGAGUGCAUUAGGUCAGGGAAACCCAUACCUAAUGAGAAUCUUCAAAGAAAGCUCGCUGAUGAUUUAAGAACACUGGUUGCUGAUGAGUUUAUCAGGAGACGGACAGAGACUGAACGGUUUAUUGAGGGUGAUUUCGAUACAUAUGUCUCUCAGAUUCGGAAGCCACAUGUGUGGGGAGGAGAGCCAGAAUUGCUCAUGGCUUCUCACGUUCUUCAGAUGCCGAUCACUGUUUAUAUGCGCGAAGAAGCAGCAGGUGGUUUGAUAGCGAUCGCGGAGUAUGGCCAGGAGUACGGGAAAGAAGACCCGAUCCGAGUCCUCUAUCAUGGCUGUGGCCAUUAUGAAGCGCUGCAUAUACCAGGAAACGCUGAGCCCAGGUCAAGACUGUAA